rnacentral:lncRNA from 1 species
UGGAAGUUGAAUUCCGGAGAGUUUCUGCAGGUAAGUAGAGUUGGCGACGUCUUUCCAAUUAGGAGCCAAAACGCCAAAAGUCUCAACCAUAUGUUUUUGACCGGUUCUCAAAUAAUAAUCUCCGGUUAAUGCCCAAACCGCCCAAUCUAAAUCAUUCUCCGCGGCCCAAGCCACCAAACAAUUCAUAUACCGGUUUCCGCUAACGUCACCGCUUCUCAGGUUAGCCCCAAACUCAGUCAAGAACAAAGGAAAACCUCUCCCGAUCAAGAAUCCUCCGUUAUGUGUUACUUUCUCGAUGAUUUUUGCGCAUAAAUCGUUAGAGUUGUGCUUUACCCACGAGUCUCGACCAUCGGAGAAGCUGUACCAAUGUUGCUCGAAGACGAGUUUGUCGGUGAAGCUGACGUUGAAGAAGCGGUCACGGAGGAAAGAGAGGUUUGUGUCGUAGUCGAUGCCGGAGAGGAUGACUAGUACUUCAGGGUUUGCUGCGUGUACUGCUUCUCCUCCUUUUGGCAUGUACCUUCACGUAACCGUUUACAGUUUUAAUACGCAUGCAUGCAUUCAUGUACUUGUUAUCCUUAUAUAUGUGAAUAAUGAAAAUACUACAAAAGGUCCAACACACAUAUACCUAAAUCUGUAUGCGAACAUAUGUUAUUUUUGAUAAAUAGUUUUAAAUAGUCAUUUCAAAUAUUUUCAUGUGUUACAUGCUUGGUUAUAUUCUAAAUGAAAUAUUAGUAAUUUGAAAUGCGUACGUACUUGAACCAGAGGUUAGGGUAAUCUCUGGUACCACGUGGUUCGUUCCUAAGGCUCAUGCCAACGACAUUAGUGACAUUGCGGAAAAGAGAAGCCAUCUUGCUCAAUCCCUUGGUCCAGAUGACAGGAUCAAAGUUAGGGUAUUCGAAGAAGGCGUCGAGGUCGUUGUCGCUGCAACACCAUCCUGGCGUUGUCAAGUGGUUGUCUAGUAUCACCAUUACUCCGUUUUGUCCAAGGUUCGAUACCACUUCCUGAUACCAAUAUAAAAGUAAAAUAAACUAUUUAUAUAUAUAGAAAGAGAGUUCCAUUACGUUGGGAUCUAUACUAUACUAAAAUGGAUUGAGGGAGUCUUUUUAAGCUAUCCACCUCAGCCAAUUAAAUCAACUAAUCAUAUGUUAUCAAACUGCCAUGUCAUUUUGUAAAAUCCACAUCAUAUUUCUUUGAAAAAAAUGAAACUUCACGGACGGUUUGCUGCUACUUCUUCCGAUUUUCUAUUAGUAUUAGCUGCCUACACAAACCAGAAAGCCAAGAGUUUCUACCUCUUCAUAUACUUUGCAAUUAAAUUCUCAUCUUCAAUAAACAGGUUGAGUUCCAAAUUAAUAUUAAAGACCUCUAAAUGACUCCUACAGCUUCAUCUUUAAUGUAAACAGGUUUUAGAUUUUAAAGACUUCUAAUUCAUGUAAUAUUACAAAAUUCAAAAUUGGUUUAUUACAAUUAAUAUUUUACCAUUAGAUAUAUUAAUACAAUAUUCUAGAUCGAUAUUCAAUUGUCAGUUUUCAACUAUUACACGUAAAAAAUAUUAUUAAGUACGUUUUUUUUUGAAAAGGGGGUUUUAUAUUUUAAGUAGGUUAUUGGGGUACUUUUUCUUUCUUGAAUUUAUUCGAGAUGAGAUUCCGAUCUUUUAAACUAAGAUAAUUUAUGUUCUAUACAUAAUUAUAUUUUUUUUACAUAACUCUAAAAUCUCGGAUUUGAUUCUUCAUAUUUUAUUAGUUAAUUGUGUUACAUAUAAUAGAAAUACUUACUUCAAACUAAAAAUAUAUUAUAACUUUUAAUUUAUCAUUAUUUAUUAUUAGGAUCCAAAUAUCUGUCUAUAUAGGAUUCAAUUAAUUUUUAACGAUGUUAAGUUAUAAUUAUAGUUUUUUUGGUAAUAUUCAAAUAAUAAUUAUAGUUUUCAUUCCAAAAUCGUAUUAUUAUUCCACUUUCUUUCAAAAAGAAGUCUGACCUCUAACUGGAAGUUGAAUUCCGGAGAGUUUUUGCAGGUAAGUAGAGUUGGCGACGUCUUUCCAAUUAGGAGCCAAAACGCCAAAAGUCUCAACCAUAUGUUUUUGACCGGUUCUCAAAUAAUAAUCUCCGGUUAAUGCCCAAACCGCCCAAUCUAAAUCAUUCUCCGCGGCCCAAGCCACCAAACAAUUCAUAUACCGGUUUCCGCUAACGUCACCGCUUCUCAGGUUAGCCCCAAACUCAGUCAAGAACAAAGGAAAACCUCUCCCGAUCAAGAAUCCUCCGUUAUGUGUUACUUUCUCGAUGAUUUUUGCGCAUAAAUCGUUAGAGUUGUGCUUUA